UGGGGAAUCUUCCGCAAUGGACGAAAGUCUGACGGAGCAACGCCGCGUGAGUGAAGACGGCCUUCGGGUUGUAAAGCUCUGUUAUUCGGGAAGAACGAUUCGUUUGUGAACAAUGAACGGAAGUGACGGUACCGAAAGAGAAAGCCACGGCUAACUACGUGCCAGCAGCCGCGGUAAUACGUAGGUGGCAAGCGUUGUCCGGAAUUAUUGGGCGUAAAGAGCGCGUAGGCGGUAUGGUAAGUCUGUCUUUGAAGUGCGGGGCUUAACCCCGUGAGGGGACAGAGACUGUCAUACUGGAGUCUCGGAGAGGAAAGCGGAAUUCCUAGUGUAGCGGUGAAAUGCGUAGAGAUUAGGAAGAAAACCGGUGGCGAAGGUGGCGUUCUGGACGAGCACUGACGCUGAGGCGCGAAAGCGUGGGGAGCGAACAGG
rnacentral:rRNA from 1 species